CCUACGGGAGGCAGCAGUGGGGAAUAUUGGUCAAUGGGCGCAAGCCUGACCCAGCCACGCCGCGUGAAGGAAGACUGCUUUCGGGUUGUAAACUUCUUUUCUCAGGGACGAAGCCAGUGACAUUAACUGAGGAAUAAGCCACGCCUAACUACGUGCCAGCAGCCGCGGUAAUACGGAGGUGGCAAGCGUUAUCCGGAUUUAAUGGGUGUAAAGGGCGUGUAGGCGGGACGGCAAGUCAGCUGUGAAAACUAAGGGCUCAACCUGUGGCCUGCAGUUGAAACUGUAGUUCUUGAGUACUGGAGAGGCAGACGGAAGUCCUGGUGUAGCGGUGAAAUGCGUAGAUAUUAGGAGGAACACCAGUGGCGAAGGCGGUCUGCUGGACAGCAACUGACGCUGAGGCGCGAAAGCGUGGGGAGCAAACAGGAUUAGAUACCCGGGUAGUC
rnacentral:rRNA from 1 species